rnacentral:tRNA from 1 species
GCGUCAGUGGUUCAGUGGUAGAAUUCUCACUUUCCAUGUAGGAGACCUGGGUUCAAUUCCUGGCCAAUGCU